CACAGAGAGCUUGCUCUCGGGUGACGAGUGGCGGACGGGUGAGUAAUGUCUGGGAAACUGCCUGAUGGAGGGGGAUAACUACUGGAAACGGUAGCUAAUACCGCAUAACGUCUUCGGACCAAAGUGGGGGACCUUCGGGCCUCACACCAUCGGAUGUGCCCAGAUGGGAUUAGCUAGUAGGUGGGGUAAUGGCUCACCUAGGCGACGAUCCCUAGCUGGUCUGAGAGGAUGACCAGCCACACUGGAACUGAGACACGGUCCAGACUCCUACGGGAGGCAGCAGUGGGGAAUAUUGCACAAUGGGCGCAAGCCUGAUGCAGCCAUGCCGCGUGUAUGAAGAAGGCCUUCGGGUUGUAAAGUACUUUCAGCGGGGAGGAAGCGAUAAGGUUAA
rnacentral:rRNA from 1 species